CACAAAAACUACAUCCGAUUUAUUUAACCGAAAAAAUAAUAUUUACAUAUUGCCACAUAACAAUAUUCUUGUAGCUGAACCAGCGCAGUCAGCGCAACAUAUAUUAUGAAAGAGACAACUAUUUUUGGCAACAUAUAUAUAACAGAAAAAUUAGUACUUUCUAUACCACAAACAUUAACAGUAAAUUUACCUGAAAAAGUCAGUUUUAGGACUUUUAGAAAAAGAGGAAAUAUUUAAAUUAAUUUUAGUAAAAUUAAUGUCUUCUUAAAGCUCUUCCUGUGCCUAUAUAUAUACAGUAAUUAUUAUGUACUUGUUGAACUAAAUUGCGGUAACCGUUGCUAUCGCGGCAUCGCUACGACGUUCAAUAUGACGGAUAUUCUGAUGUUAAAACUCGCGAAAAAGACAUCGGCGACGCUCUUGGCUGGAAUGCUUUGUUAUUUUACUUUCUUUAUUAAUUAAAUUAUUAUGACAAUUUUAAAACUGAAGAUUGUGUCGAGCCCAAAAAAAUUUUAUUACGAAUCAGUAAUCACAUUUUACUUAAUUUGGAAAAUUUUG